UACGUGGGGGGCAAGCGUUGUCCGGAAUUAUUGGGCGUAAAGAGCGCGUAGGCGGUCCGAUAAGUCGGCUGUGAAAGUCAGGGGCUCAACCCUUGAAAGCCGGCCGAUACUGUCGGACUAGAGUCCGGAAGAGGCGAGUGGAAUUCCCGGUGUAGCGGUGAAAUGCGCAGAUAUCGGGAGGAACACCUGUGGCGAAAGCGGCGCACUGGACCAUAACUGACGCUGAGGCGCGAAAGCUAGGGGAGCAAACAGG
rnacentral:rRNA from 1 species